rnacentral:rRNA from 1 species
UUGCAAUAGUGCGUGGAUGAGGUGUGGAUAGGAGUGAAAGGCUAAUCAAGGCUGGCGAUAGCUAGUUCUCCCCGAAAGCUAUUUAGGUAGUGCCUCGAGUCAACACUCAGGGGGGUAGAGCACUGUUUGGAGAAGGGGGCCAUCACGGCCUACCAACUCCAUGCAAACUCCGAAUACCCUGAAGUGAUACUCGGGAGACACACAGCGGGUGCUAACGUCCGUUGUGAAAAGGGCAACAACCCAGACCAUCAGCUAAGGUCCCAAAGUUUCGGCUAAGUGGUAAACGAUGUGAGAAGGCAUAGACAGCCAGGAGGUUGGCUUAGAAGCAGCCAUCCUUUAAAGAAAGCGUAAUAGCUCACUGGUCUAGUCGGCUUGCGCGGAAGAUUUAACGGGGCUAAGCCGAGCACCGAAGCUAUGGGUGUGCGAGACCUUCGGGUCCUGCACGCGGUAGGGGAGCGUUCUCUAAGCCUGCGAAGGUGUGCUGCGAGGCAUGCUGGAGGUAUGAGAAGUGCGAAUGCUGACAUGAGUAAC